rnacentral:misc_RNA from 1 species
AUAUGGAGUUGUGUAUAAGAGAACAAUACUAGUUUGCACAUUACUUCAAAAUUUAUAUAUAGUUGUUUGUGUGUGUUGCUUCUAGCCCUAUAUCAAGCAUACUUUAAAGCUUGUUGUAAGUUCAAAUAAUUGUUUUCGAACUACAUUGAUUAUCGGACUAGGUAAGGGAACUUUUGACAAAUAAAGAAUGCACAACAUUUCAAAAUCAGUUGUGUGUGCGGCUUGGUGAUGUUACUGUUGCCUGUUAACUGUAAAAUAAAAUUUGGUUUUUAAUUACAAAAAACCUCUUAGAGUUUGCCUUAAAAUACUUUUGAUCUCUGUCGUUUCAAAAUUUACUACUCCUUAUAUCAG